AAGCCAUCUAAUGAAGAGUCGAAUCCUAUAAUAAAGAGAAGAAAGUGAGAGCAAGUGAACUGUUUCGAUGUUAUACUUUGUUGUUAAUAUACUCUCUCGUAUGUACGAGCACUAAUUAAGCUAGAUUUUAAUCUAAAAUAACUGUUUGGUUUUGAGUAUUAUAUAUAUGUGAAUUAUGUGGUUUUAAAUCUACAAGCUUGAAUAUUGCAAGGGGGUUUCGGACCAUGGAUUAAUUUCUCUUCUUAUUUAUCAUCUUAGAUUAUUUUCUACCGUGUAAUUCGAUUUGAACUUUAUGUGUUACUUUUUCUGUAUAUUAUUUUUACUUAGCACAUAUCGAAUUUUGAGAUUAAAUCCUUGAAUUUUUUGGAUUGAAUUAUUUUAGAUUUGAAUGUUUGUGUUACGAUUUUUUACGAUUUUUUUCUUCC
rnacentral:lncRNA from 1 species